UAUAAUUGUUAAUUGUAGUAAAUGAAAUUUUGAUCACAGGUAACUACAGGUUGUUUCUAAGUGUAUUUGAAAAAACGGAGUCGGAUAAUCUGUGUAGGGGAUAUAAGAUGCUGCUGUUCUAACUGGAUACUGUUGAAACGCCGCCUGAAACAUGAGCAGUUCAGCACUGCAUUGUGAGUCUUGCCAAAAGAGUCAGCUGGAUAGCACUUCACUGCGGCCUUGUCUGUGUUUAAUGGAGCACAGUUUCAAAAACAGCAGCCAUCUCAGGGUACCUUGUAGUGGGACAAAAUGUCUUUUCACCAGCUGAUACAGUACAAUGUCAGCUUUAAGGUUUCUAUAUGGUUGCUUGGUUACUACUACUUUUUAAAAAAAAUUAGUUUACAAAAGCAGUUACUGUAACUAAAGUUACUCUUUUUUCCUUCUGUGGCUAAAGCAUUCUCUAAAUCAAGAAAGAAGCAACUGAAAGGAAACUGAAGAAAGCAGCUCUAUGCACAUGAGUGCAGAGUAAAUUAUUAUAUGGCAUUUUUUCUGCCUAUCUUAAAAUUAUAAACACUGAUUUAGCUUUACAAGAUCACUGACGCUGGUAAAUAUGCCCUUUUCACAGAAGAUAAUUGAAGAUUAAUUGUGAAAUAAGCCCUUUAGUCAGGAAGGGAGAUGAGGUGGUUAAUUGAUCCAGAAACAUAAGAACAGCAUUACUUUAGGGCAUAGGCACCAAAUUAAAACCUGGUUAUAAAGCCCUGCAAUUUAAUCCCAGUAAUGUAAACCUUCAUGUUUAUUGCUAAGUCAAUGUGCAAUAUAUGUAAGGAAGAAAAAAAAUUGUUCACCUUAUUUGUGGCAAAAUAUAGAUGUCUAAAUACUUAGUUUUGUGGGGAAGGGUGUGAAAUCUCAUUUUUCAUGGGCCUUUUUGGCAUUAAUAUUGCCAAAAUAUUGCCAAAUAAUACAUAAAAGGUGUAAAAGAAAAGAUCUCCUGCUUGUAGGAAGGGUUAGCCACAUACCACUUAAUCAGGCUGACUGUGUAGUCAGGGAAGGAAGAUCCCAAAAGUUUAAAUCUAAAUAUUACACGCUAUUGCAUUAUACAGCACAUUUAUUAAACAUGAAACCCCAAACCAAAAAUAACCAGAAAAUGGGACAUGUUCGUUUGUUCAUUCAUGUCAUCAUCAUUUUUUUAAACAGUGUGUAAAUGUUAUUUUUUGUCUGUGGGUUCACUGAUUAUUGUCAAUCUCAAAAUUGAUUUUUUGUCUUUUGUAUCUAAUGGUUCCACAAAGCCAUGACUUGUCUAAUCUAAAGCCUUGCAUUCCAUCUUGUGUUUCCAGAUUCCAGUCAAUCUUACUUUACUUAAGAAUUCUCAGCUUUACUUCACUGGAAUACUGUGUGCAGCUCUGCACAGCUGUAUUGAAGGUGUAUCUACUGGGAGUGGAACAGAUGAAGGAGAAGUCUUCCAAGGUCUCCAGAAGAGCACAGGACAUGAGCCACAGCUAGGAAAGAGUUUUAAUCUAAGCAUGUUGAACCUAGCCUUCAAGGCAGGCAGAAACAGAAUACUGGGAAAGACAUUUAAGCUGAGUAUGAGUGCUGGCCUCAGGACAUUGACAUAGAGGUAUACUGGAGCUCAAGUGGAUGCAGUAUUGGAAAAUAAACUGAAGUCACCUCCUGUCACUGUAAAGCUGUUGGAGGUUGAGCAAGACUACCAGAGGUUAUGUGACAACAGCCAAAGGAGAGGAGCAACAUCUGGAGGUGAUCACACCUGGAAUGCCUGGUCCUGGGCUCCCCCUGCCAGAGUAGCAUGGACACACUGGAACAAGUCCAGAGAAGCACCACAAAGAUUAUCAGAGGACUGGAGCACCUCUUCUUAGAACUGAGAGAGCUGAGGCUGUUCAGCCUGAAGAAGAGGAGGCUGGGGCUGACCUUAUCAAGAUAUAUGAGUACCUCAUGGGGAGGUAAAGAAGAUGUGCCUCGUGACAGGACAUAAUGUAAUGUAAUGGGCACAAACUGAAAACCAGGAGUACUCAUUUAAACAUAAGAAAACCCUUUUUUCCUGUGUGGGAUUUUGAGAAAUUGGACAGGUUUCUCAGAGUGGUUGUGGAAUCUCCAUCUCUGAAGGAUAUCCAAUAUGCAACUUCACACUAUCUUCAUCAACCUACUCUAGCUCAUCAAGGGAGCUAGGCUAGCUCUUCUUCAGAGGUGUCUCUAGUCUUAGCCUUUCUAUGAUCCAGUAACUUUUCUAAACAUCCUCACAGUGGGAUUUAUCAUGCUUUCAAUUUAUCACUGUGAAAUUUUGAAGGGAAUUUUCUUGCUUGCAAGAAAAAGGGAUUCCCAGAUUGCCCUGUUAUCCUGAUCUGCUUUUCAGAUAUUCUGUAAGUGAUUCCUAAAUAUUUUUCUAAGGUAUCCCAAAUCCCUUUACCCACAGUAAGACUUUUUUUUUAGAAAAAGGGUCCACAAAGCCUUUGCAGAAAUGUGUGGGCCUCUUCUGCAUUUUUUGAAAUCGGCUAAAAUGCCUGGUUGGUUGGUGAUCUUGUUUUUUAUUCAGUCUCAAUAUUGAUAAGGUUCCAUGUAACAAUAACUUCACCAAGAGAUACUCAAUGAACUUAAAAAAAGUUUUUAAUAUAAAGGUUAUAUUAUCAAAUGGUGGUUUGAAAGAACUAAAUAGGAUUACGAAGAUUAUCCUUUUUUAACAAUGCCUUAAAUUUUUAUCUCCUUAUCUCUUUCUCAUUGCUCUCUCUCUCAAGACAUUAUGGUUUAUUGUGUCUCCACUAGGUACCUUGCAUAUGAUUUACACACUGAAUGAAUCUGCUUUCAGAGCAAGGUAAUGAUAUAAUAUCCCCAUUUAUAUUCAGAGCAGUCAACACUUUCUAUCUCUUUGAAUAAUAAAACCACCUGCAUUUAAUAUACAUGGAAAAAUGGGAAGGCAAAUAGCAGAUAUAGCACAAUCACAUAAGUGUAAUCAGAUAAAAUAUCACAAUAUUAGAGCAGAUCAGCAUCUGGUAAUGACUUGAAUUUUAAAAGACUGACAAACAGCAUGGUCUAAAGCAAUCAGGCAUACCUCAUUCAGAGCUACUUAUCCCAGAUUUGAUUGCUCCUCUCAUAUGUUUCUGGCAGAUUAAACAUUCAGGCUUUCUUAUUUUAACUCUUCCUGUGCUGUGCCUCUUUUGGUGGAAAACCACUUGUCUUUUACCUCUUUUUUUCCAGAGUGAGAAAGCAACAUCAAAUUAAAGGAGAGGAGGAAUGUGCCCUGCUGCCCUGGCUGGUUGUAGUAAAUAGAGCCAAGCCCUUCUGCAGUGAUCAUGCAGUCACACAUCCAUCUAUGUCCUCUGCAGCUGCUGCCAGGGCUUUGGGAUCCAUGAUAUGUAGUGGAGAACUACUAGAAACUGAAAGGACACUUCUUUUGUGUUUGGCAAUCUCUGGAUGAGUGACUUGUGGAAGACUUUAUUGGUGCAUUCAACUGCACUCAGUGGCACCCUGAUGCCCUUUAGGACAUCCUGCAGAUUCAGAAAUACAAACAAUACAAUUCAAGCAACAUCGAAGUAAAGGUGGUGCUCUAUAGGACUGGGAUAUUGCCUGUCCUCUAUUUCUAUGCAUCUGUCAAUUGCAAGUCUUUGCUGUUAAUGCAGGUGCUGGGGCAGGAGCCAAAAGUCAUGUUAGGAUGCAUGUUCUCCUCUCUUUCUCCUCCCUCUCCCUAUCCCAUCACCUAUCUCUAUUCCUUACCAUCUCCCUCUCUUUCACAGCUUGCUUUAAUGCAGGCAUCAGUGAUGAGGAGCUGCUUGAAUUUCUUAUUUCUGAUUUUGCAUCCCAGGCAGUGCUACUUCCAGGAAUCAUAUCACUUGCCUCACCUCUUGGGUAUGGGGAGCUCAUUUGCUUCUGAUUAAUGAGCUUGUGAUUGGACUUUGCAUAGAACAAAUUGAUUGACUGUGUCUCCAGAGUAUAUUGGGAGCCACAUGCUUUCCCCUGAACAAAAUGCUGUGCAAACCUUCUCCCCACCCCCUCUUUUCUUUUACAUCACAGGACUGUGCUUACUGUGGCAGCAGAAGACCUUUUGCUAUGGCUAAAACCAUGCAACAGUAGAGGCAUUCUUAUGAGGAAGAAAGGGAAUAUUCCACAGCUAUGUUUUUUCCCCUUUGACCACACCUGAGGUUAUGUAAUACCUCAGAUAUUUUGCAUGUAACUGUGAGAGAGAUUCUACAAUCAGAGAUCAGCGUUCUUUGUAAAUGUAAAACCUGAAAACAAAUGGUGCAAUUCCCCAUGUACAUGGUUAAUAGUAAGAUGCACCAAUUCUAGAAUAAAAGAUUUUGAAGAGGAGAUGUGCACCUUGGAGAGCAACAUCAUCCUAUUAAUGACAAGGCUUUUUUUAUAUUAGCACAGUUUAAGUGGUCAUUUUACUCAUUGCUCUUCAAUAACAUUGAGGCUUCUUUUCAUGAGAUGCAGUCUGAACACCAUUCUGUCUCCCAUGAGCUGGCACAUGUGAAAUAAGAGCCCAUGAUCCUCACCAAUAACUGCAGAACUAGAAAAUGACUGUUUCUUGUCCUUUCCUGCUUUCUGGGUUAAGGGUGAAGAAAAAGAGAUCUUAGACUCCCAUUUACAGCUUAGACCUAACAUAGCUCUUCCUGUAAAAGUCUUCCCCUAUGAUUCCCUCACCUUUUUAGAUGCAGCAUUUUGUUACCUGCUGCCUCCUGAAGAGUGAACAGACAGGGAGUGGGGAUGAGGCUUUACUGUCUUCCUUGGCUGAUGAUGUACUCUUACACCAUCAGAUAGAGAGAAAGGGAUAACAGAGCUGAACCAGUGAUCAGGAAGUUCAAAGACCUGGAACUCAUUAAACUCGAUUUAUCUUAUACAAACCCAAUUCAACUAGGGGAAAAAAAGAUAAACACUCAUGGAAGGUAUGACCAAAGUGCCACCACAAAAAAAUAGCAGAGCAAAGAAAAGAAGUUAAAAUGUUGUACUGCUUCCUGUCAUAUGUUUAAACUUUGUGAAACACAUAUAUAGACAUAUUUUUAACUUUUUUUUAAAAAAACAUGGAUUUCUUAAGUUUGGAGAAGGAUGCUCAAUGCAGUUCUCACAGUGAAUUCGCUGUCAGGACAGUAUAUUCUUGUACUGCUUCCUUACUGCAGUGGAUCAAUCACCAAAUACAUUAGGCAUCCAUUGUGUAAAAGAAAAAUAGAUGAAGGAGGAUUUGUCAUAAAUUCUUUCUUUGUAUUGGAAGACAUGUGGCACAGAGUUGAGAUAUAGUCUGUGUUUUCUUCUGCCUUCCAUCCCUUAAUGCUUCUGAUUCAAGUUUCAUUUUACACAUAUAUUUAUGAUAUUCCUUUGGUUUGCAGUGCUUGGUUACAAGGACUUUGUCUUUCACCUGUCAGUGCUGUUGACUGCAUUACACCUGCCCUGGACUGCAGGGGAAUCAGCUUUGGGGGGCCCAAUAUGAAGUUACUGCUGCGACUGGCCACAGCUUGUUCUUGGUACAAGAAUAUGUUACCAUUUUUAAAAACUUACAAAUACCAACCAGAACACUAAAUGUCUUUAGCCAUGGCCUACCAAAAUAAAGAGUAUGAAGCCCAGGCUGCAAUGGAAUAAGACACAAAUCUUUUACUUUUACACUGGAAAAAGUUCUAACUAGUGAAACAUACUGUAUUCAGAACAUUCACACUAUUUUUUGGUUUAAAGGAUGGAAAGGGAGUUGAAUAGAGUCAAACUCUACCAACAUUUUUUCUAUUUCUAAGGCAUAUAUGUCUAAUUUCUCCCCUUUCACAAGAUAUUUUUUCCCUGUACUCAGCACUAGUUAGACUGCACCUUAAAUACUCUGUGCAGUUCUGGGCCCCUCAAUGGAGGAUGGACAUUGAGAUGAUGGAACACACCCAGAGGAGGACAACAAGGCUGGUGAAGAGCCUGGAACAAAAGCCCGAUGAAGAACAGCUUUGGGAUUUGGGGUUUUUUAGUCUGGAGAAGAGAAGGCUCAGGGGAGACCUUAUCACUCUCUCCAGCUGCCUGAAAGGGGAUUGGAGAUUGUAGCCAGCUGAGGAUGGGCCUCUUCUCUCAGGCAACUUGUGAAAAGACAAGAGGACACAGUCUUAACUGCACCAGUUUAAGCUAGACAUUAGAAAAAAAAAAUCUUUACAGAAAGAGUCAUUAGGCAUUGGAAUGGGCUGCCCAGGGAAAUGGUGGAAUUACUGACUCUGGAGGUGAUUAAGAAAAGAACAAUGUAGCACUCAGUUCACAAGGUCAUGUUUAACAGUAGGCUGGACUUGAUGAUCUCCAAGGUCUUUUCCAACCUAGUGAAUUCUGUGGAUCUGUGACUUUCUCUUUUGCUUUUCCUUUAUAGGCUGAAAACAUUAAGUAUGUGUUUGGUUUGCCUCACAACUUGGGGCUAACUUUAGGCCUGGAUUUAAGGUUGAUUUAGGGGUCCAGCAGGACCACUCAUGGACAAAAGUCCCAGUGCUGAAGGAAUCUAGGCACAGGUUUCCAAAGACAUGGAACAUGGCAGACCUUCUUGCACCAUCUGAUACAAGCCUCAUCCUUUACCUGGUGUUGGAUGCUCACUGUCACGACACAAAAAUCCUGUUUGAAUUCUACAUGGAGUAUGAAUGGUUCAGCUCUUGUCAGCAGGAGUCAAUAUGCAAUUUACACUCAUUUACAAUUAAACUCCAUAAGAAACUCUAUCACACUUUCUUUUCCAUGCUAAGGCAUAUAAAUUAGCAAUCAACAAAAAGAUGCUGAAACUUUUGAGAUAUAAGUUACCAGCACUGUCUGGUUGGGCUUCGACAUGCCCCUGAGUUCUCUGCUGUCCAGAAGCUGUAAAUUCAUCAGCUCUAUCAUGGCCUCAAAUCAAACGGACUCCUUGGAUGGCUGCUAAUCUAAGAUCACAGGUAGAAUGGUCAAUUUGGCUUUUUAGGAAUUUUUUCCUUCCUGCAUAGCACUGUUGUGAGAAUGCAUGGAAUGCAGUAUACAUUAUAAAUAA